rnacentral:lncRNA from 1 species
ACAGUAGAGAGGCUACAUACAGUAGAGGCUAUAUACAGUAGAGAGGCUACAUACAGUAGAGAGGCUAUAUACAGUAGAGAGGCUAUAUACAGUAGAGAGGCUAUAUACAGUAGAGAGGUUAUAUACAGUAGAGAGGAUAUAUACAGUAGAGAGGCUAUAUACAGUAGAGAGGCUAUAUACAGUAGAGAGGCUAUAUACAGUAGAGAGGCUAUAUACAGUAGAGAGGCUAUAUACAGUAGAGAAGCUAUAUACAGUAGAGAGGUUAUAUACAGUAGAGAGGCUAUAUACAGUAGAGAGGCUAUAUACAGUAGAGAGGCUAUAUACAGUAGAGAGGCUACAUACAGUAGAGAGUCUAUAUACAGUAGAGAGGCUACAUACAGUAGAGAGGCUAUAUACAGUAGAGAGGCUAUAUACAGUAGAGGCUAUAUACAGUAGAGAGGAUAUAUACAGUAGAGAGGAUAUAUACAGUAGAGAGGCUAUAUACAGUAGAGAGGCUAUAUACAGUAGAGAGGUUAUAUACAGUAGAGAGGCUAUAUACAGUAGCGAGGCUACAUACAGUAGAGGCUAUAUACAGUAGAGAGGCUAUAUACAGUAGAGAGGCUAUAUACAGUAGAGAGGCUAUAUACAGUAGAGAGGCUAUAUACAGUAGAGAAGCUAUAUACAGUAGAGAGGAUAUAUACAGUAGAGAGGCUAUAUACAGUAGAGAGGCUAU